UCGAGGAUCAUUCGCAAUGGGCGAAAGCCUGACGAUGCGACGCUGCGUGGAGGAUGAAGGCCCUCGGGUCGUAAACUCCUGUCAUGAGGGAAAAAGGUGCCGGGCGUGAACAACGUUCGGCCUAGAUGGUACCUCAAGAGGAAGCCACGGCUAACUCUGUGCCAGCAGCCGCGGUAAUCCAGAGGUGGCAAGCGUUGUUCGGAUUUACUGGGCGUAAAGGGCGCGUAGGCGGUCCCGUGUGUCGAGUGUGAAAUCUCCGGGCUCAACCCGGAAAGUGCGCUCGAAACUGCGGAACUUGAGCACAGGAGGGGAGAGCGGAAUGCAAGGUGUAGCGGUGAAAUGCGUUGAUAUCUUGAAGAACACCGGUGGCGAAGGCGGCUCUCUGGAAUGUUGCUGACGCUGAGGCGCGAAAGUUGGGGGAGCAAACA
rnacentral:rRNA from 1 species